AUGGAGCCGACCUUGAAAUACCACCCUUUAAUGUUUGAUGUUCUAACGUUGACCCGUAAUCCGGGUUGCGGACAGUGUCUGGUGGGUAGUUUGACUGGGGCGGUCUCCUCCUAAAGAGUAACGGAGGAGCACGAAGGUUGGCUAAUCCUGGUCGGACAUCAGGAGGUUAGUGCAAUGGCAUAAGCCAGCUUGACUGCGAGCGUGACGGCGCGAGCAGGUGCGAAAGCAGGUCAUAGUGAUCCGGUGGUUCUGAAUGGAAGGGCCAUCGCUCAACGGAUAAAAGGUACUCCGGGGAUAACAGGCUGAUACCGCCCAAGAGUUCAUAUCGACGGCGGUGUUUGGCACCUCGAUGUCGGCUCAUCACAUCCUGGGGCUGAAGUAGGUCCCAAGGGUAUGGCUGUUCGCCAUUUAAAGUGGUACGCGAGCUGGGUUUAGAACGUCGUGAGACAGUUCG
rnacentral:rRNA from 1 species